rnacentral:misc_RNA from 1 species
AUGAUUGCGAAUGGUUGCCUUCAGUGCUGGCUCACCAGAGCAAGUGCACGUUGGUGGCUUUCAUCCAAUUCCACACCCUGUGAACCUUUGGCCUCUUGCUGGCUUCGGCCUGCAGAGGAUUUUAACAUAUACACGAAUGUACUGAAAACUAUUGUUGUGCGCAAGCACUAAUAUA